rnacentral:rRNA from 1 species
AUGCUACAUCGCGGCGAACUGGUGGAUGGUGUCAGUGGCGUGGGGGUUCGUGGUGACGGUGCCGAGGGCGUCGUGCUGGCGCGGGAGAUGCAGAUGCCGGCGCGGACGUUCAUGAACUGGUACUGGCCCGCCGACUACAAGGCGCGCGCAUUCAACAUGAAGCCCCUGGCGCACAACCAGUGCAAGAGGCCCGCGCUCUACUACCUGGCGUCGGCGUGGCGCACGGUGGUGCGCGUCAUCGUGUUCGAGAAGCCUGACCCCGAGUUAUGGGACCUUGUAAUGCUCGCUCUGCCUAUUUUAUGUGUCAGGAGGCUGCUGGACGAGUGA